rnacentral:rRNA from 1 species
UUAAGCGACUAAGCGUACACGGUGGAUGCCCUGGCAGUCAGAGGCGAUGAAGGACGUGCUAAUCUGCGAUAAGCGUCGGUAAGGUGAUAUGAACCGUUAUAACCGGCGAUUUCCGAAUGGGGAAACCCAGUGUGUUUCGACACACUAUCAUUAACUGAAUCCAUAGGUUAAUGAGGCGAACCGGGGGAACUGAAACAUCUAAGUACCCCGAGGAAAAGAAAUCAACCGAGAUUCCCCCAGUAGCGGCGAGCGAACGGGGAGCAGCCCAGAGCCUGAAUCAGUGUGUGUGUUAGUGGAAGCGUCUGGAAAGGCGCGCGAUACAGGGUGACAGCCCCGUACACAAAAAUACACAUACUGUGAGCUCGAUGAGUAGGGCGGGACACGUGGUAUCCUGUCUGAAUAUGGGGGGACCAUCCUCCAAGGCUAAAUACUCCUGACUGACCGAUAGUGAACCAGUACCGUGAGGGAAAGGCGAAAAGAACCCCGGCGAGGGGAGUGAAAAAGAACCUGAAACCGUGUACGUACAAGCAGUGGGAGCACGCUUAGGCGUGUGACUGCGUACCUUUUGUAUAAUGGGUCAGCGACUUAUAUUCUGUAGCAAGGUUAACCGAAUAGGGGAGCCGAAGGGAAACCGAGUCUUAACUGGGCGUUAAGUUGCAGGGUAUAGACCCGAAACCCGGUGAUCUAGCCAUGGGCAGGUUGAAGGUUGGGUAACACUAACUGGAGGACCGAACCGACUAAUGUUGAAAAAUUAGCGGAUGACUUGUGGCUGGGGGUGAAAGGCCAAUCAAACCGGGAGAUAGCUGGUUCUCCCCGAAAGCUAUUUAGGUAGCGCCUCGUGAAUUCAUCUCCGGGGGUAGAGCACUGUUUCGGCAAGGGGGUCAUCCCGACUUACCAACCCGAUGCAAACUGCGAAUACCGGAGAAUGUUAUCACGGGAGACACACGGCGGGUGCUAACGUCCGUCGUGAAGAGGGAAACAACCCAGACCGCCAGCUAAGGUCCCAAAGUCAUGGUUAAGUGGGAAACGAUGUGGGAAGGCCCAGACAGCCAGGAUGUUGGCUUAGAAGCAGCCAUCAUUUAAAGAAAGCGUAAUAGCUCACUGGUCGAGUCGGCCUGCGCGGAAGAUGUAACGGGGCUAAACCAUGCACCGAAGCUGCGGCAGCGACGCUGAUGCGUUGUUGGGUAGGGGAGCGUUCUGUAAGCCUGCGAAGGUGUGCUGUGAGGCAUGCUGGAGGUAUCAGAAGUGCGAAUGCUGACAUAAGUAACGAUAAAGCGGGUGAAAAGCCCGCUCGCCGGAAGACCAAGGGUUCCUGUCCAACGUUAAUCGGGGCAGGGUGAGUCGACCCCUAAGGCGAGGCCGAAAGGCGUAGUCGAUGGGAAACAGGUUAAUAUUCCUGUACUUGGUGUUACUGCGAAGGGGGGACGGAGAAGGCUAUGUUGGCCGGGCGACGGUUGUCCCGGUUUAAGCGUGUAGGCUGGUUUUCCAGGCAAAUCCGGAAAAUCAAGGCUGAGGCGUGAUGACGAGGCACUACGGUGCUGAAGCAACAAAUGCCCUGCUUCCAGGAAAAGCCUCUAAGCAUCAGGUAACAUCAAAUCGUACCCCAAACCGACACAGGUGGUCAGGUAGAGAAUACCAGGGCGCUUGAGAGAACUCGGGUGAAGGAACUAGGCAAAAUGGUGCCGUAACUUCGGGAGAAGGCACGCUGAUAUGUAGGUGAAGUCCCUCGCGGAUGGAGCUGAAAUCAGUCGAAGAUACCAGCUGGCUGCAACUGUUUAUUAAAAACACAGCACUGUGCAAACACGAAAGUGGACGUAUACGGUGUGACGCCUGCCCGGUGCCGGAAGGUUAAUUGAUGGGGUCAGCGCAAGCGAAGCUCUUGAUCGAAGCCCCGGUAAACGGCGGCCGUAACUAUAACGGUCCUAAGGUAGCGAAAUUCCUUGUCGGGUAAGUUCCGACCUGCACGAAUGGCGUAAUGAUGGCCAGGCUGUCUCCACCCGAGACUCAGUGAAAUUGAACUCGCUGUGAAGAUGCAGUGUACCCGCGGCAAGACGGAAAGACCCCGUGAACCUUUACUAUAGCUUGACACUGAACAUUGAGCCUUGAUGUGUAGGAUAGGUGGGAGGCUUUGAAGUGUGGACGCCAGUCUGCAUGGAGCCGGCCUUGAAAUACCACCCUUUAAUGUUUGAUGUUCUAACGUUGACCCGUAAUCCGGGUUGCGGACAGUGUCUGGUGGGUAGUUUGACUGGGGCGGUCUCCUCCUAAAGAGUAACGGAGGAGCACGAAGGUUGGCUAAUCCUGGUCGGACAUCAGGAGGUUAGUGCAAUGGCAUAAGCCAGCUUGACUGCGAGCGUGACGGCGCGAGCAGGUGCGAAAGCAGGUCAUAGUGAUCCGGUGGUUCUGAAUGGAAGGGCCAUCGCUCAACGGAUAAAAGGUACUCCGGGGAUAACAGGCUGAUACCGCCCAAGAGUUCAUAUCGACGGCGGUGUUUGGCACCUCGAUGUCGGCUCAUCACAUCCUGGGGCUGAAGUAGGUCCCAAGGGUAUGGCUGUUCGCCAUUUAAAGUGGUACGCGAGCUGGGUUUAGAACGUCGUGAGACAGUUCGGUCCCUAUCUGCCGUGGGCGCUGGAGAACUGAGGGGGGCUGCUCCUAGUACGAGAGGACCGGAGUGGACGCAUCACUGGUGUUCGGGUUGUCAUGCCAAUGGCACUGCCCGGUAGCUAAAUGCGGAAGAGAUAAGUGCUGAAAGCAUCUAAGCACGAAACUUGCCCCGAGAUGAGUUCUCCCUGACUCCUUGAGAGUCCUGAAGGAACGUUGAAGACGACGACGUUGAUAGGCCGGGUGUGUAAGCGCAGCGAUGCGUUGAGCUAACCGGUACUAAUGAACCGUGAGGCUUAACCUU